CUUUUGAGCUCUUGAGAGUGUCCUUCACUCCCAAAAGGCGCAAGCCAACUUUAAUUAAAUCUUAUAAAACAUUCCAUGCCCAUAUGCGGUAUCAAGGUUCAGUGAUCAACGAACCCCUUUAGACGUCUUCGACGUCGUUUGCUUCCUUCACACUUUCUACUGAAGAUCGAGCAGCGAGCACCAAAGCUAAAAGCUAAGAUUUUCACCGCAUCAUAAUGAAGUAAUCUAAAAAUUGAUCUAAGGAAAAGUAAAGUCAACAAGAAUUCAAGAUGUAGAGGAGCAUCAAAUCAAAGCUUAACAUAAUGAAAGACACCUCGCAAUUCAAAUCAAAACCGCUAUUACAACGAAUAACAAGACAUCCAUCACAACUUGCAUAGCUUUGAAACUGAAUGUCAUUCAGAGAUGAAGUUGCAAAACGGUUUGAUACAAUGUAUAUCAAAAAGGUCAUGCCGACAAGAAAAGCUGUAUAUAAAAAGUCCUUUUAUUGUAAAGAAAUAGAGAUACAGACCUCACCAUGGUCUGUUAUAAGGAAUGUUUGUGCAACCGACAGAAACUUAGCAUUUCAUAUCAAACUAACUAGA